CCAUAUGCCACAGGAGCAGCUCUAGAAAAGGCAAAAAGACCCCCCCCCAAAAAAAAAAAAAAAGUAACCCAUUCAUAAUUUGAGCUUUUUAACUAUUGUUAUUUUUGUCAUUCCUUCAACAUUUGAAAUACUAAUCAUGGAUGCUAUGUAGACCUAGGAGUAGGUAAGAACUGAAGACUAGAAGACACUUCUCAUAGGUAGCAGUGCUUUCCCAAAUUGUGAAUAAGAGCUAUCAUUCAUGGAGCCCUUACUCUAAUCAGCAUUGUGCUCAGCAUUAUUACAUCAUUAUAUCAUCGAAUCCUCAUGACAGUUUGGUGUUAUUACCCCCAUUUUACAGAUUAGUAAACAGAGGUUUGGAGAAGUUAGCUAAUUUGCCCAAGGUCACAAAGCAGAGUCAGAAUCCAAAGCUUUAAUCCAAAGCUUAUGCUUUUCAUAUACCACACUGCUUCUGUUUGGCGAAUCAGUGAGGGAAACAACAGUAGUUUACCUUUAGAAUAGUCUCAUAGGGUAGAACUGUAUAAGGUUGAGGUUGUUCUUGUGAGAAGAAUAUAAAUCCUUUUAUUAAUUAGAAUGUGACAUCUGGAGUUCCCGUUGUGGCUUAACAGGUUAAGAACCUGGCUAGUAUCCAUGAGGAUUCGGGUUUGAUCCCUGGCUUCGCUCAGUGGGUUAAGGAUCUGGCAUUGCUGCAAGCUGCAGCAUAUGUCACAGAUGUGGCUUGGAUCCGGCACUGCUGUGGCUGUGGUGUGGGCCAGCGGCUGCAGAUCUGAUUCGAUCCCUAGCCUGGGAACUUCCAUGUGCCACAGGUGUGACCCCCUCCCCCCAAAAAAAGAAUCUAAGCUCUACUCUGGACAUAUACUUUAGUGACUUAUCCCAUGUUGAAAGAUAAAGGUUUUGAAUGAAUGCAGCAGGCUUUUUAAAGAAAAAUAAAUUACUGAUUAUUUACAUAGUGUUCAUGGUUUUUUUGCUUUUGUAGGGCUACACCCUUGGCAUAUGGAAGUUCCCAGGAUAGGGGUCAAAUCAGAGCUACAGCUGCCAGCCACACCACAGCCACAGCAACUCUGGGUUUGAGCCGUGUCUGCAACCUACACCAUAGCUCAUGGCAAUGCCAGAUCCCCUACCCACUGAGCAAGGCCAAGGAUUGAACCCACAUCCUCAUGGUUUCCACUGAGCCACAACAGGAACGCCCUUUUAAAAAAAAGAAGCCUUCUAGGAGUGCCCUAGUGGCUCAGCAGGUUAAGGAUCUGAUGUUGUGGCUAUGGUUACUGCCAAUUUUACAGCAGUCAAAUUGAAUCGUGGUGUUUCUAAUUCUUAGCUUUUGCAUCCUAGUUAUAAAGUGCAUGUAAGAACAAAACAAAAUAAAACAAAAACAGAGUCUAUGAUGCAAAGAGUUUGGAAAAUGCUGCAUUUUGUAGAUUCCUCAGGGAGACCUACAAUGCAUAUUAACAUAUUAAAAGCUCUGAGAAGUCCUACAGUAAAGAAUUAUUUCCACUCAAGCAAAACUUUGUUUAACCCAGUAAAGACUUAGUUGACCAUUAUGAGUCAGGACCAGAACAGAAUACAGCACCUCUUCUCAAUACAGGGAACCUAACAUGAGAAACCAGGUUAAAACUUUUUGGAGGUAUUCAAAGUGUAAAUAGGAGGACAGUGGGACAUCUCAGAAAAGAACAAUAUGAGGGAGAUGCUACCAUUAAAGCCAUAGGACUAAGGGAAGAGCCAGUGUUGCCCAGAUGUGGCAAGAGAUUUUUGGGGCAGGUCCUCCAGCUCCAUUUGAGCCUUGCAACAACAUCUUGACUGCAAGCUCAUGAGAAACCCUGAGCCAGAACCACCUUAAGCCAGGUCUUAGAUUCCUGAUCCUCCAAAACUGUGUGAGAUAACAAAUAUUCGUGGUUUUAUUUUAUUGUCUUUUUUUUUUUUUAGGACCACACCCAAGUCAUAUAUAUGGAGAUUCCUAGGCUAGGGUUCAAAUCAGAGCUACAGCUGCCGGCCUAUGACACUGCCACAACAACACAGGAUCCGAGCCAUGUCUGUGACCUACACCACAGCUUAUGGCAACGCUGGAUCCUUAACCCACUGAGCGAGGCCAGGGAUUGAACCCACAUCCUCAUGGAUACCAGUUGGGUUUGUUAACCACUGAUACAGGACGGGAACUCCAAAUAUGUGUUGUUUUAAACUGCUACUAAGUUUUAGAAUAAUAUGGUACAGAGAAAUAGAUAACUAAAAGAGAUGUUGCUACUUGGAAGUGAGAUUCAGCCAUAACAAAUUCUAAAGUGCAGAAGUAAUUUUGCAACUGGACAGUAAACCUUGGGGACAGUAUUGGUGAAAGCCUAAAGUACCUUGAAGAAAUUGUUAGUAGAAGUAUCAUGAUCAUUGAUAUGGCUGCAAAUGAAGGCUUUCCAAAAAAAUGAGGUAAUGUUAUUGGAAACCAGAGGAAAGCCUAGCCUUAUUACACAGUGGCAGAAGAUUCACUGUUGCCUGCAGUAACCAAAAAGUAGAAAAUAAGGGUGUUUUUUUUUUUUUUUUUUUUUUUUUGUCUUUUCUAGGGCUGCAACCCACCACAUAUGGAGGUUCCCAGGCUAGGGUUCUAAUUGGUGCUGUAGCCGCCGGCCUACGCCAGAGCCACAGCAGCGCGGGAUCUGAGCCAUGUCUGCGACCUACACCGCAAUGCUGGAUCCUUAACCCACCGAGCGCCUCGCUCAGGGAUUGAACCUGCAACCUCUAGUGCCUAGUCAGAUUUGUUAACCACUGAGCCAUGAUGGGAACUCCUGUUUUGGGUUGUUUUGUUUUUUUUGUUUUUUUCAUUUUUGGCUGCCCCACAGCAUAUGGAGUUCCCAGGCCAGGGAUCAGAUCUGAGCUGCAGUUGCUAAGCCAUAGCUGCAGCAAUGCCAGAUCCUUAACCCACUGUGCCAGGCCAGGGAUCAAACCUGUGACCCAGUGCUCCCAAGAUGCCACCGAUCCCGUUGUGCCACAGCGGGAACUCUGAAGAUAUGUUUUUUUGAACUGGGUGAUCUAGCUAAGGAGACUUUCAAGCAAAGUUUUUCUUCUUGUUACUUAUAGUAAAAUGUGAAGGGAGAGAAGUAAACUAAGGGAAAAACUGUUAAACAAAAAGGAUACAGAAUUUGCUGGUGUUAAAUAUUCUCAGCUUCUCUAUAUGGCAAACAAUGCUAAAAUUACAAUGUAGCUCCUGAGCUACAAAUCCAGGGCACUGCUAGUAAAACACAGUCCAAAGAUGAAGCAAUGGGUAUGAUUGUAAAGCCUUUUGAUAAAGUCUCAGAAGGAUUUAAGGUUGUACAUCAGAAUACUAUUCGAUCAGUCAAAAGGUCCCCUAAGGAGAUUAAAGGUAUAUUUCACACAGUCUCUCAAUGAAAUGAUAAAGCAUUUAGGAAGCUUAAGGGCGUUAUCCCUCAGUCAUCACAUCAGAAGCUCCAGGUAGAGAAAAGCCUAUCUGAAUGAUAUUUAUAGGUGUGAUUUUCAUCUAAUGAAGCUGACCCCAAGAAUAGUCACAGAAGACUCACAAAAUUUUAAAAAUAAAUAUGUUUGGAGAAACAUUACCACCUUGGACCAAAAGGGGUAGAGAUAGUACACAGUGAAAAGAGGCCUUAGGACCUCAAAGUUCCAUUAGCAAGACGUAGGCCGAGUAAGCAUGGGCUAUCUUUCAUUAAAGGGGGAGGAUGACUUGGGUUAGAACCAGGACUCCAGAACAUGGAGCUGAGAGCCAGGGAGAAUUAUUUCCAGCCUUUGGAACUUAACCAGGGAACUUUCCACAUUUGUUCAGCUGAAUUUCAGAAUUACAGUGUACCAGUGACUCCUUUGUGCCUGUCAUUUUCCCUCUUUUUGAAUAGGUAACAGCAGUUACCUUGUUAUACCUGUCUCCCCAUUGUGCUUUGGGUGUAUGGAGGGCACAUAAGUUGUUGCUUUAGUUUCACAAGGGAGAGGACCUGUACUCAAGGAGCCAGACUUAAGGACCUACACCCAAGGAACUUCAACUGCACCUGGCCCUGACUUAGAUGAUGAAAUAUUGGAAUUCACACUGAUGCUGUAAUGAGACGAGACUUUUGGUGACUUUGGGAGGAAGUGAGCAGUACUUUGCAUGUGGGAGGGACAUGAAUCAUUGGAGAUCAGGAUGGAUGCGGCAGCCUCCAAGCUAGCUCUGAAUAUCUUGGCUUUAUUCACCCUUGGUAGACCUACCCAAGAACUUCACUGCACUGGCCUGAUUAGAUGAUGAAUAUUGGAAUUCACACUGAUGCUGUAAUGAGACGAGACUUUUGGUGACUUUGGGAGGAAGUGAGCAGUACUUUGCAUGUGGGAGGGACAUGAAUCAUUGGAGAUCAGAGGAUGGACUGCGGCAGCCAGCCUCCAAGCUAGCUCUUGAAUAUCCUUGGCUCCUUAUAUUCACACCCUUGGGUAGGUCCCACACUCUAUCACAGUUGGACUGUGUGACCAAUGCCAUGUCGUAGAAAUGAUGAUAAUGUUACUUCUGAGGUUAGGUUAUUAAAAAGACUACACACCUU
rnacentral:lncRNA from 1 species